ACAAAAACAAUCAUGUUACAUCAAAACCUGAUAAUCUGGUGAGAAUCAGACUUUUCUACUUCACAUGGUUUGGAGAUUAACGUCUAGAAAUCUGGAGAGAAUCCAGAGUAAAACCAGAAAGAAAUUAAAUCUGAACACAAAAAUAUCAAGUAGAUUCAGAAGAAAACUAGAAAAAAAUGAGAUAAAAGAGAAAUUAAAUUAAGAAAGAAAGUGAGAAUAACCCCAAGAUAAAAUCACAAACUAGUGAGAAAAAAAUUAGAAAUGAGAAUCAAACUGAGGCAUAAGCAGAACAGAGCUGAGAUUAAACAGGAUUAAAAAUAAAAAUAAAAUAAAAUAAAGAUGAAACAAAAAGAAAAACAGCAAAAACACAAAACCAAAUAAAUUCUUCUGGUUUCUAGAGAAAAUAUCUUAUUACACUUAAAAUAACUUUUCAGUAAAAAGUGUUUAACACUUACUCUGCUGCCAGCUGGAGAGGAACUGCUUUAGAGUCUAGCACAAAAAAUGAAAACGCCUGAAAUAAUUUAAUAAAAACAGGAAUAAAAACUUAUUAAUUGGAGGCCAGGCUUCAGUUUUCUCUGCAUUUAUGUAAUAUAGUUCAGUUGAAAUUGUUCUUUUUCAAUUGUUUGCCCAGUCAUCUCAAAAUUCUUGUUCAGUAAUAAACCUUUAAAUUUCAAUUCAGAUUUGUUUUUCUCCCUCUUUAAACUGUUUGUCCCAAUUUUUAAUAGAAAUGUUAAAUAACUAUCAGAUACUGAAAGCUGAGGUUGUUCUGGAAAAAAGAACAACCACAAUGCACAUUUUACAGCCAUAAAAAUAAAAAAAGAAUACCAGGCGGCCCAGUUACAAUUUUGGUCAUAAGAGGGUUAACAGGAAGAAUUUCCAAAAUGAAGAACUUCUUUUUAACAGGAAAACUUCCAAACAAACCCAACACUGCAUCCUCCUACUGAGGAUCGAUGUGAAGUUGUCCUGCAAAAGAAAUGAAAACAAGAUUCAAUUUCAAGAGGCCGCGUGCAAAACCGUUUUUCGCAAUUAAAUUUAAAUUGUUGAACGUAAAUUAAAUUUGUUUCAACUAUUGACUUAUUAAAGUAUGGACCUGUCUUUGAAAUAUGUAGAUUCAAUUUAAAACUAAAUAUGAAGUAGAUACAAACAAAUAAAAAGAUGUGUAUUUUCAAAAGUAAAUAAAAGACACUAUUUUCACCCAAAAACAUACAAUAUACAUCCAAAAGAUAAUUAUCUUAAUGCAGCUAUACUAUGUCAACAUAGCCACAUUCAAUUAUCAC